GGCUCAGCCCCGCGGUGGGGACAAACUCCGGCUCAGUGGUGCAGAAUUUUGCCCAGGAGAGGCUGUGGGAUGAGCUGGGGUGUUGCACAAGGUCCGAGCGGGCACCGCGGGUACCUGCCAGCCUCUCCCUCUCCCUGGGGUACUUUGGAACCCCGAGGGAGGGAGACGUGCAAUGAAAUCUCAGCAGACCGUCGGGAUUGGUUACUAAUAGAAGUCUGCUUGGAGCAGGAUCACGGCUGCAAUGCAGCAUUCAGCCAGGCCCAGGGUAUUGGCCCAAACUUCAUCUUCAGCCAGGUCAGAAGACACGUGGUGGGAACAGGGACUUUUUUUCUUCCCUAUAAAUGCUGAAGUACUGACUGACUGCUCAAAUAAAUACACAUGGAUAAAUGCACAGUAAAACUGCUUAAAGAGAGACUAAAGCAAACACCAACCUUUUUAUAGCAACUUAUAACGAAGAUUUGCCUAGAUGGCAGGCUUGUAUAAAGAAGUAAAUUAUCCUACUUCCUUUGAGGAGUAUAGAGAUGUUUAACAGCUCAGUUCAUAGAGCAGCCUCUCCAGUAAAUAAUGUAGUUCAGAAAGAAGUGAAUAAUAUAUAUAAAAACUUAAGCUAUAGGUCAGUUAAAUCAAUAAUAAAAGAUCAUUCAGUGACAGGAUAAGCUGGCAAAAUAGGGCAGAAGUCCAUUUUUACUUAUAAAGGAUUUUUAUAAGUUCAUGGCAGCACUCAAUACAAAAGCCUUCAAAGAGGUGUGGAAGUGGCAGCUGCUCCCUCCAUCCUCCUGCCUGGUGUCUGAAGGACAUGGCACGCUGCAAGGGUGUGGUGCUCUGCUCCAAGCAGAGACUAAGAGUACUUCAAUAAAACACAGAUGCUGCAGCUCAGCCAGCUUCGAAGACUUUGAAGAUAAUGAUACCCUGAAAUCACUCUGGGGCAUGAUGUAUCUGCCAAGAAAAAAGUCAAAUGCUGAUUAAAGAAUACUAUUAAUUAAAUAAUAACUAAGUCCUACUGCUCUUCAGAAAGAGGAGGGAUAGGAAGAAAUGCUGUUUUCCUUCCCUCCUUAUAGCCCUGCUGCAGUUCACUUUGCCCUUCCUGGCUCCUCAGCCUUGCAGCAAAGAUAUAAACCAGGAGUAAGCCCACGAAGUGAUGUGGCUAAAGGGCCACCCCCUGCAAGUGGUGUGACAGACCUGUGGUUUUCAUGCCAUCAGACUUUAUUAAGAUUACAUCCUGAGCCAAAAUUCCAAAGUAUGCAACACUGAAGAGACCAAGAAAAGCUCUUGCAGGUGACUGAGAAACGAUACUCAAACCCAACUGUACAGUGUAUAAAAGCAAAGCUGUCUUUCCAGCUGGAAUUUAAACCUGGGGAAACAUCACCAUGAACUUGAUGUCUUCCUAUAGAAUUCCUUCAGCUGCCUGUGUCAGCUGGAGCCAGAGAACCAGCGUUCAGCUGCUGCUCUUUCCAGCUCCACUGACAUCUGCAGGAGCUGGGGCUCUCUUGAGAAAGCUUUACCAUGAUACUCAAUGCUCAUCACAAAGGGAGAAAAGGUUGUAAUUGCUCGCUGCACUUACUUUUCUUUAGAAUUUUCUAAUUACCAACAACUGAAAAGAACCCAUAAAAUGGCAUGUCUUUUCACAGUGCCCAUUUGGGGCUCUUAUUCCAUGAUUAGAUGCUCAAGAUUAACUCGAUCCUGCCAACUGCGUUUUGGUACUGCCCUGCAAGAGUCCAAGGAGUGUAUGUGGAGAUGGAUGCCGACUUGCAGCUUGGUGGUGAGUGAAAGAGACUGGUGCUGAGGCUCGCUUGGGUGGCUGUGCUGGGACUCAGGCUGGAGAAGCAGCUGGUGCUAGGACUUGGUGGGAGAAGAGGCUGGUGUUGGACCUCCCUUGGGCUGGUGUGGGGUCUGGUCCCAGAGUCUCACAGAUGCUGCACCUCCAGCCCCAUGGCAUCAAGCUUGCAUGUUGGACCUUCCCAGGUGAAGGAUGGCUGCCCUGCUCAGAGAGGUGCCGGAGCUCUGCCGGCAUUCACUGAGCCUCUCUGAGAGCCUGAAAUGAGGGAUGCUGAACCAGGGCAGCGCACUACACUGCCACAG
ensembl:lncRNA